rnacentral:rRNA from 1 species
AUCCUUGCUAUCCAAUCAGACUGGGGCGGAGAGUAUGAGAAAUUAAAUUCUUUCUUUCAAACUCUCGGCAUCUCUCACCAUGUGUCAUGCCUUCACGCUCGCCAACAAAAUGGUUCUGCUGAACGCAAGCACAUGCACACUGUUGAGGUCGGUUUAGCUCUUUUAGUUGGCACCUCCAUGCCUCUCAAAUUCUGGGAUGAAGCUUUUCUCUCUGCCGUUCACAUCAUUAACAUGCUUCCUAGUCGUGUUAUCAAUAAUGAAACUCCAGUAGAAAGGCUACUCCACACCAAGCCUGACUACACGUCUCUUUGUGUUUUGGGUGUGCAUGUUGGCCAAAUCUUCGUCCAUAUAAUCAACGCAAACUUAUGUUUCGCUCAAAGCAAUGUGUGUUUCUUGGGUAUAGCACUCAACACAAAGGUGUAA